AUUGAACGCUGGCGGCAGGCUUAACACAUGCAAGUCGAGCGGAGCGAGGGUGCUUGCACCUUAGCUUAGCGGCGGACGGGUGAGUAAUGCUUAGGAAUCUGCCUAUUAGUGGGGGACAACAUUCCGAAAGGAAUGCUAAUACCGCAUACGCCCUACGGGGGAAAGCAGGGGAUCUUCGGACCUUGCGCUAAUAGAUGAGCCUAAGUCGGAUUAGCUAGUUGGUGGGGUAAAGGCCUACCAAGGCGACGAUCUGUAGCGGGUCUGAGAGGAUGCUCCGCCACAUUGGGACUGCGACACGGCCCAGACUCCUACGGGAGGCAGCAGUGGGGAAUAUUGGACAAUGGGCGGAAGCCUGAUCCAGCCAUGCCGCGUGUGUGAAGAAGGCCUUUUGGUUGUAAAGCACUUUAAGCGAGGAGGAGGCUACUUAGAUUAAUACUCUGGGAUAGUGGACGUUACUCGCAGAAUAAGCACCGGCUAACUCUGUGCCAGCAGCCGCCGUAA
rnacentral:rRNA from 1 species